CCACCCCUGGCAACUAAGAGCAUGAUAUGGGUAUAUAAAUUUGGGGCUAUGGUGACUCUCUUGGCCAUACCUGAAUUAGAACUGACUCCGAAAGCAGACUUGUUCACGUUACCAUCUAAUUUUCACAGACAAUGAAGACUUCCACGCUUGUUGUUGUUCUCUCUAUUGCUUUGAUGCAGUGUUUCAAGGGCAUCCCCGCCAGCCCUUUGGUCCCAUGCCCGGAUGAAGUCUCCAAGGGCUGUCCUCAUCAUGUGGAAGAAUUCCCUGUGUAUUACUCUCAUCCUGAUGACUGCUCCAAAUUUUGUGAGUGUGGCGCAGAGGCCAUUGCUUGGGAAGUCACCUGCAGGCCAGGACUACUUUGGAAUGAUGCCCUGCCGGCCUGUGACUGGGCUGUCAAUGUUGACUGCGGUGAUAGACCAAGGCCAUGAAAUCAAGAUAUCCAGCAGAUCUUCAGGACUUCUUACUUCACUCACAGGGGAUAUUGACCUGAAGACUCAAAUACUCUGACUUUCAAUCACGGAGAUCGUUUGAAAGUUGUUGGCGUUCACUAUAUGUACAUUCGAAAUUAUAAUCAAAUGUUUUGUACAUAACUGAUAUCCUAUUAGUCUGUCAUCUGUUUACUCAUAUCAGAAUUAUAGGAAACCAUUUUAAAUAGUCUAAUUCUUUAAUCUGUAGUACAUACAUCAAUUGAGAAACUGUAGUCGGCAUAUAAGUCAGAAAGAAGUUUGGCAAUGCAGCUAGUGAUGGUCAUGUUCAUAGUAAUUUUGGCUUGACUAUAGGCUGCACUGUCUUGGUAGUGCAGUCAAAAUUUAUCCUCCAUCAACCAAACUCAUUGUGGUCCUGUUUUGUCUCCAUACAGGUUUGAUCCAAGGGCAUGUUAUAACUUUUCAGAGGGGGCUUGGAGAAUAUUUGGAGUUACAUAAAAAGAAACAUAUCUAAAGCCACCUUUGCAAAUCAGACAGGUGCAUUAUGAAAGUUAAUGACAUGGACAACAGGAGCACAUGAUCAAAACAGAUGGAUUAAUUCCCUCCCAAAAGAUUGCAAUGCUAGCACCAUCAUCAGUCAUUGUCAGUUAAAGUUCUUAUAUUCUUGAAGGAAACCGUAAUUUGUGAUCCAAAGAUUUUCUGAUCUAAUGAGUUGUUAAAAGCUCACCUAAUCACUCAUUAAAUAUUCAAGGGCAAAGAUAAUCUGAGUGAACUAAGUGGAGCAAAAAAAUUUGAUAUUUGCUUCUUCAUACUUUAAAAUCACUUUGGAUAAUAAACUAUUUUUUAAAUUC